GACGAACGCUGGCGGCGUGCUUAACACAUGCAAGUCGAACGGAAAGGCCCUGCUUUUGUGGGGUGCUCGAGUGGCGAACGGGUGAGUAACACGUGUGUAACCUGCCCUUGACUUUGGGAUAACUUCAGGAAACUGGGGCUAAUACCGGAUAGGAGCUCCUGCUGCAUGGUGGGGGUUGGAAAGUUUCGGCGGUGGGGGAUGGACUCGCGGCUUAUCAGCUUGUUGGUGGGGUAGUGGCUUACCAAGGCUUUGACGGGUAGCCGGCCUGAGAGGGUGACCGGCCACAUUGGGACUGCGAUACGGCCCAGACUCGUACGGGAGGCAGCAGUGGGGAAUAUUGCACAAUGGGCGGAAGCCUGAUGCAGCAACGCCGCGUGCGGGAUGACGGCCUUCGGGUUGUAAACCGCUUUCGACUGUGACGAAGAGUGAGUGACGGUAAUGGGUAAAGAAGCACCGGCUAACUACGUG
rnacentral:rRNA from 1 species